rnacentral:ncRNA from 2 species
CCCGCUCUCGCGGGAGAGCGCGCACCGCGCGGCUGCGGGGCGCCGCCGAAGGCGCAGCACCCGUAAUCGCUCAGGCAAACGGACCGCGGGCGCUUC